UGUGUGGGUGGGGUGUAUAUUAACUGACACCCAAAUAGAAAUUCUAAGUAAGGGACUGAAGUUUACACCCACACCACAAAGACCAAACUUCCUUGAACUGAAAAAUGACAUUGCAGAAUUCUGCCGAAAACUCUGGCUGGCUGAACACUCCACCAACAACUCUAAUGAUGAGGACGAGUCACCAGCCAGCAACAAAAGCAACUUUUACCCAAAUAAAGGGUUAAAUAAAGCACUAGACACCUACUGUGAAUACAUUAUGAACUUCCCCUUUUCAAAAAUUGAACAUAGAAAUACUAAAUCAAAGUUUACAAAGCAUGAAUGGAAGAACCUACAGGACUUACAAUAAGAUACAGAUGCAACUAUCAAAGAAGUAAAUAAAGGGAGCAUUGUCAUUAUCAUGGACACAAAUUACUAUAAAGACCUAGCACUCACAAUGCUAGAGGACAACAACUACAAAGAAUAAAAAAUAAUGGAAAACCUCACAACUCUUUUAAAGAAGUAUAACAAAGGCUUAACCAGCAAAGAAAUUGACUACGUAGGCUAUUUCAAAUGCAAAACAAGCAACUUUUAUGGUUUACCAAUAUCUAAAAUUGAGAUCAACCAUAGCAGGCUUGGUAUGUGAAACACACAGACUCAACAACUUCUUGGACAUCUUCCUAAAACCCUCCCUAAAACAUAUACAGAGCUACGUACAAGAUGACCUAGACAUGCUAAAUCAUCUGCCAAAAACGUUAUCCCAUGACUUUGUUAAAGAAAAUAGCUCAGCUCACAACAGGCAGCAUAAUACUAACAAUGAAACAAAAAUGCUCUAGCAUGGCCAUAUCCAGAUGGUAUGAAGCUAAUUAAAGCACUAAUUAUCA